rfam:Picea glauca, whole genome shotgun sequence.
GACUCUCAACAAUGGAUAUCUUGAUUCUUGUCACGAUGAAGAACGUAGAGAAAUGCGAUACUUAGUGUGAAUUGCAGAAUCCCGUGAAUCAUCGAUUUUUUGAAUGCAAUUUGCGCCCAAGGCUUCGGUCGAGGGCACAUCUGUCUGGGCGUUA